rnacentral:rRNA from 1 species
AGUGAACGCUGGCGGUAGGCCUAACACAUGCAAGUCGAACGGCAGCACAGUAAGAGCUUGCUCUUACGGGUGGCGAGUGGCGGACGGGUGAGGAAUACAUCGGAAUCUACUUUUUCGUGGGGGAUAACGUAGGGAAACUUACGCUAAUACCGCAUACGACCUACGGGUGAAAGCAGGGGAUCUUCGGACCUUGCGCGACUGAAUGAGCCGGUGUCGGAUUAGCUAGUUGGCUGGGUAAAGGCCCACCAAGGCGACGAUCCGUAGCUGGUCUGAGAGGAUGAUCAGCCACACUGGAACUGAGACACGGUCCAGACUCCUACGGGAGGCAGCAGUGGGGAAUAUUGGGCAAUGGGCGCAAGCCUGAUCCAGCCAUACCGCGUGGGUGAAGAAGGCCUUCGGGUUGUAAAGCCCUGUUGUUGGGAAAGAAAAGCAGCAGGUUAAUACCCCGCUGUUCUGACGGUACCCAAAGAGUAAGCACCGGCUAACUUCGUG